CUGCGGUUCCACCUGGACAAAUCGAGGGAAAACGUACUAACCCAAAAAUCUACGGACCAAAACUCACCGGGAUCAACACUAUCCUAUAACUUGCGGACAAAGACAGUCCCGCGACUAGGAUUAUUCGAUCCCAAAUCGCCAAUUCUGAGAUAAUACAUCAACACUCAGAAAUUCUAGGUCCACUGAACCUUGGUCCGCACACCAGUAACCGACUCGACUACGUCGAAGGUUCACGCAGAAGAGACUUGAGUCAACACUACUUUAAUCUAAAGUCUAUUUACGUAGACUUGAAACGAAAACUCCGACUAUUCAACAACGUCAACCUGCUCACCACGAGCGAAUACAAAACGUUGUUCUGAGACCUGAGUCAAACUCUCACCUUGGUGACCACAGUCUCCCAACAGUAACCACACAAACUGCCAAAACCUCUAGCAAAGGAUAGUCACAUACGACAAUUUAUAGUCCUACGUCCAAGACCUCACUUUUCACCUGACCCAAAAAGGUCCAACCGACAAUACCAAUUACGCUAGACAAUUUUGUCUCUUCAAUUGUAACCGAUACCAAUAAAACAACAUACCCACCAUGUAAGCCCAUUACUUGAUGCACAGGUCGCCAAUCGCAAAAGCGAUACUAACCAUCGGUGAUGCUCAACACCUGUCUCUACAAGACCCUGUCGCUGCCGUCCUACAAGGGACCCUAGCGAUCGAUGUUCCCGGCAACACCCGAUUACUUGUCUCAUUGAGACCUAGGCGCACCUGUCAUCAAAUGACCGGACAAGCAUACUAACCCAAGAUUUGCAUGAUAAGUCAAGUCGCAAACCUUUUACGUUAUCACAUAUGGUGGCAAUCAAAGCCAACAACCAGGUUCAAGUCACUCAACCACUGAUUCUAAACUUCAUGACAACAGACUGAGACUACUACCCAAGAAACUCUUAGCUGUAGAAAGCACAACAAUAGGACCAACGAUCACCUAGACUCGGACCAAAGUCAAAACCAUCAGAAGUGACGAAAAGUCAACUGCGCAAAAACCUGCCAAGGAGUAAUCCAAGGUUCGCCACAAGGUCAGAGGCUCAAGCGUUCUCAUAAACAACUAGGAAAAACACCGACCCAAUCAAAAAGUCCCAAACGGGAAGAUGGUAUUUCGUCCCUCUUUCGACAGUAUAUUGUCUGCAGCCAAUAUACUUAUCAAAAGAAAAGCGAAAUAUCCGAAGAUCCACUACCAACAAUAAGUUGGAAGCACAACGCGAUAAAGUAUCAAGCCACUUGAUACCUCUCCACUGAACCAGAAGCUCACAUCCAAUACUAUCAAAACAUCGACUUUACAAGUCGACACUCGAAAUUAGAACGACCCUGGAAUAUCUCUUUAUUGAACCCAUAAGUUCACCACUAAAAUCGUCGAAACUGCGACUUGCAAGUCGACGAUCGAAAACAGACCGGCCAUAAACCGACUCACUGGGAGUCGUAAAGCUUUCAACAUUCGAAAGCUACUAGCGACACUAAGCCGCGCACCGUACCAACUGAGGCUCUAGAAAACGGUUUCUCUAACCGAUUUUCACACCUCAACCGAGCUAUAAUCAAAGCUCCGAGAUUUCUAGCAAUACUUGGAGUAACUCGAGUCAAGACGGAUCCUACUAAACCAUCUACUAUCCCCUGACACCAAUUUAGGUGUUAGAACAAUCGCAUACGAUGUAUGCCUCAACGAAAACAUGACACCAAAACUGUGUCAAUCCGACUCUAGUAGGACGAAUGNAAGUCCGUGGUGUCGGUAAUCACCUUGUAAUCUUUUCUCUUAAUGGAUUAUUUUUUCGCGUGUUGGUCCUGUGGGUUUUUCUCCAAAUUGGAGUUUUCCCAUGUAAAUCUCAGUGUGAUUUUUAUUUUUCGCAUUUUUUUUUAUCACAUUGAGAUUUGUGGUUUUUGGCUAUUUCACCUAUUCACCCCCCUCUAGGUGAUAGAUACAAUCUAGAUAGAUCCUUGGGCUCCUCAAAACUUUCAAUUGGUAUCAGAGCGGGAUCUAGAUAAAUUGUUAUCUAAUGGCCGAAGGCGGAAACAUUAAUCGACCACCGCUCUUCGACGGCACAAAUUAUGCUUAUUGGAAAGUUCACAUGAGAGCUUUUCUAAUUGCAAUCGAUGAGCGCGUUUGGCAAUCAAUCGAAUUUGGAUGGAAAAAUCCUAUUGAAAAGGUCGAGAAUAUUGAAACGCCAAAACCACGGAACAAGUGGACGAAAGAAGAAAACGAGACAUCUUCGUUUAACGGCAAGGGCAUAAACGCUUUAUUUAAUGCAUUGUCUCAAACGGAGUUUAUUCGUGUUUCGGCAUGCGAAACGGCAAAGGAAAUUUGGGAUACUCUACAAGUUACGCAUGAAGGAACGAGCUUAGUAAAGGUCCAAAAAUUGCAAAUGCUAACAAGCAAGUUUGAUUCUAUUUCUAUGGAUGAAAACGAGACCUUUACCAAGUAUUAUACACGUCUACAAGACGUUGUGAAUACAUGUGCUAACUUAGGAGAGAAAAUCCCGGAUUCUAAAGUUGUUCGUAAAAUUCUUCGAACUCUUCCGGAGCGCUUUCGGGCAAAGGUUGCCGCGAUCGAAACGGUUAAGCAUCCGAACGAAAAGAGAGAAAAUCCCGGAUUCAAAGAUUAUUAGAAAGAUUCUUCGAACUCUUCCGGAACGCUUUCGGGCAAAGGUUGCCGCGAUCGAUACGGUUAAGCAUCCGGACGAGAUGAAAGUCGAAGAAUUAGUAGGUGCUUUGCAAACUUAUGAGAUGACUUUUCCUACCAAUCAAUUUUCUUCCAAGUCUUUCUCUAAAAGCACAGGGGUUGCGUUGAAAUCGACGAAAGAGGAAGACGGAGACUCGAAUUCCGAUGGAGAGAUCUCAAUUGCCGACUUCGAACAUCAAUUGGCGCUUCUACCAAAGAAGUUUCGUCGGAAUUUCCGAAAGAAGAACAAUUCGGACAAGGCUACAUCGUCUAAGCAGCAAACGUUUUCUAAAUCUUCUACAUCUAAAGAGAAGAAGCGUACAAAGGCUUCGAAAGAAAAGGAUGAAUUUGAAGGCGAAAUCCGAUGCUACAAGUGCAAAGGCUAUGGCCACAUCGCAACGGAUUGUCCCUUUGCAAGCAAAGACGUGGGAUGAUACAACUUCAAGUGAUUCAAGUUCAAGUGAUGAAGAAAAGAAUGGAAAUCUUGCUUUAUUUGCUAAAUCUACCUUGCCUUCGUCUAACAUUAUAUGUUUAUCCUCUAUUACUACUAAUUCCAAUAUGUCUCUUUCUUCACAUGAUUCUUCGAGCGACAAUGGCAAAAGUGAGGAGGAAUCAAACGACGACGACAUAGCGGAAGCGUACAAUCAACUUCUUAUUGAAUCAAAGAAGAUGGCCAAGCUUAAUAAGAAGUUGAGGCGUCGUUUGUUGAAUCUCGAAGAGGAUAACAACAACUUGAAGACCACGAACAAAGCUCUCAAGGAGGAAAGGGAAUCAAUUUUGAAAAAUAAUUCGGACCUCCAAGAGAAGUUUAAUGAAGCGGAAUCAACGAUCAAAUCAUCUAACGACAAGAUUGGAUUUUGGAACAUCAAUUUUAUGAAUCGCACAAGUCCAAUCAAGCCUUGAUCGACCAAGUUCGUCAACUCUAAACCGACAUUCAAAAGUUCUCAUCGGGAUCGAAGAAAUUGGACUAUAUGCUCGGGUUGGGUCAAACGGAUAAAUUAGGCCUCGGAUAUGAAACAGUUUUUGUUGAGAAUGAUUCUAAAUCAACUUCGAAAGUCUCAACAACUUUGAAAGUCAAGGCGUGUCAUCGUCGAGGGAGGUUGGCGAGGCACAGGGCUGGCAGCUUGUGGCCUGGGCGGCAGCAGCGGCAGCGGCGGCGCACGGCGACGGCGGCGGUCGGCGGGGGAGGUUGGUGAGGCACAGGGCGACGCCGGUGAAGGCCCUAUAGCCUCAGCCUGGGCUCCAACCCGAGAGAAAGAGAGAUAAAGGGAGAUGGAUGGAAGAGAGAGCUACAGGGAGAAGGAACCUCAUUCUCCGGCGACGGGCAGUGUGCGCCGGCGGCUGGGGCGCAAGCCGUGCACUCAGGGAAGGGAGGAAAGGCGGUUAGGUCGGUUAGGGUGAUGCGGCUAGGGCUAGGGUUAGGGUUCCAAAGCGAAAAGCUUAAAUACGAAGCUCCAAUUUGCAGAAAAGUCCCUCAAAACUCAACAUUUCAUUCCGAGUCCCUCAUAGCACGAGUAAAGUGCACGGAUACCCCUCCACGUCCGGUUUCACGCGAUUUGGUACAUAAAAUAUCGCAACUUUUGCGAAGUUUCCGACUUUGCCAAUUCAACCCCUCAGCGAACAUUUCGCGUUUCCUGAAAAUCCGUUCGUCGGAUUUUCGAUCCGACAGCACCAUUGCGUUCAGCACGUCGGGUGCAUCGAACCUAGCAUUUUGUUUCGUCUGAUUUGGUCUCCGAUCAGCGACAAAACCUGCCCUCUCUCCAACGAAUCCACAUGUCAUAUAUAGGCCUAGGUUGAAACCCGAAAUCCGUUAAUUCAAACUCGUAUUUGAAUUCNAUCGUCAACAGAGAGUUAAGUUACACUGUCAAAAUUUCAGUCCUUACAUUAUCCCCCCCUUAAAAGAAGUUUCGUCCCCGAAACUUGACCACAUACCCAUUGAAAUCGAAAUCGGAUAUUGCUUCCACCACUAUGGUAUUACCUUUGAGUAUUGGUCAAUUACAUUUUCAUGCAUUUGGACAGAUCAAUCUCCAAGUAAGGGAGGAAUAGGACUGCAGUUCUACUCGGACAACAACGAGGGAAAAACGUACCAACCCAAAAUCUACGAACCAAACUCAUCGGAAUCAAUACCAUCCUAUAACUUGCGGACAAAGACAGUCCCGCGAUUAUCAGAUCCCAAAUCGCCAAUUCUGAGAUAAUACAUCAACACCUAGAACUUCUAGGUCCACUCAACCUUGGUCCGCACACCAGUAACCGACUCGACUACGUCGAAGGUUCACGUAGAAGAGACUCGAGUCAACACUACUUUAAUCUAGAGUCUAUUUACGUAGACUUGAAACGAAAAACUCCGACUAUCCAACAACGUCAAUCUGCUCACCACGAGCGAAUACGAAACGUCGCUCUAAGACCUGAGUCAAAACUCUCACCUU
rnacentral:lncRNA from 1 species